AUCACUUCUCUGCCUUUUGGCUAAGAUCAAGUGUAGUAUCUGUUCUUAUCAGUUUAAUGUCUGUUGCGUCCCCUAUCCGGGGACCAUAUAUUAAAUUGAUUAUUUGAACAGGGAGAUGGAAUAGAAGGUUGCUCAGUCCACUCCACGCAUCAGCCCAGUAUUGCAGUGCUUCUGGGAAUGAUGCACCCCCU